CAACUGAAAAUACAACGCUAGUUGAAAUCAGCAAAUACAACAAUAACAGUUUUAAAAUUCAGAUUAAUUUUACAAAGAUUUUUCCGGUACCUAAAUGCUCAGCUCACACGAAGACCUGGAAAUUGAAUUUCAAAAAUACAAGUAUCGUUGAAGAAAGAAUUUUCUACAAAGUAUCGUUAAUGUUGAUGCAUGAUGUUGAAGAACAAUGUAAUACAGAAUUAGAAAUUCAUUGUACCGUUGGCAGAUUCACACACUAUGACAAAACAAUUCCAUUCAUGCAAUGCUCGAGCACAAUUCCUACGACUAUUAAACUGACUCUAAUAUGUCUAAGUGGAGUGAUAUUUAUAGUAUUCCUGAUUGUGCUUUUGUAUA